AAGGGUCAUCCCAGCGUUUCCAGAUAAAUUUGGAGACAAAUAAAAUGAGGAACUGCGGAGCUCAGCCUUAACCUGAGAAAGAAUAAAUCACAAGAUGUGGAAAAAAAAGAAAGUUCCAUGACUACAGAUUUUCAAACAAUACAAUUUUACUUUAAUAUCAUACCCCACAAGUUCUUCAGUCACAUGAGAACCUGAAGCGUUAAGAACUGAAGCCAGAAAGAGUAUUCUUACUAAGGAAUAUGACAGAAAUGACAGUUUGGCAAUCUUCCAUAUCGGAAGAACAGCCACCAGCAGACCUCUAUUAUUUUGAAGAAAUCCGCAUCUGUCUUGAUGACAGUGUAGGGGAAGUUAUUUCACCAAUGUAGUGGCAUCAGAGGACACUCUCAGCAAGGUUUGUUGUUAACUUUUCAAAAGAAGCUGCACAUUUUGGAAUGUAUUGGUUUCUGGCAAGGAUUUCUAGAAGGAAUCCUUUUCAGGAGUCCUGAAACAGCCGAAGAAAGAUUGUUUCUAUGAUGUUCUGACCCAGGAAAGACCCAGCAGAAAUCUGCUCUGAUGGGAAUCAUGGGCUAAAGCAAUCUGGAUAUAUUUUGAUCUGAGCUCUCAGAAGUAACCAAUCUCUUUGGAGCUUGCAAAGGAAGGUGCAUCCCACAGAGCUAGUGUUAUGUGCACCACUUGUAGACAGAUUACGUUACAUGAAUGAGUUUGAUAGGAGUCACCAUGGUGAGGAAAGGAUAAUGGAAUUUCAGUAAAUGAGAAGUAACCUCUGCAAAGUCCAAUCAGAGGGAAUUUCAGCUCUUUAUAUUGCCUUGUGUCUGCAGUCUUGUACACUGGAGCUGUGCAAGUGAACUAAAUUCAGUACAGAGCAUUAAACGCUGUCUCUUUUGUAAUUAUCAUCAGAGAGCUGUAUGAAGUCUUGAAGCUAUGAAAUCCUGCAAGUCCUGUCGAAAAUGUUUCUUUAUACAGAUCUUAACUGUUAUUCAAAGGAAUUCACCCUAAAAGAUUGAGAACUGCUGGGACAUGAAGAACAUAAAGCUCUAAGACUGUAUGUUGGAGAAAAGUUCCCUCAGAAGCGUGUGUUUAGACACCUUUGGUGACACUUACUGCCUUGCCUGCCAUGCCUGCAAGUGUGGCCUCACUUUCACUGUUAUUGCAACAUGUGUCAAGUGAAAUGAAAACAGAAAUUUGGGAAAGGAUAUAAUUAACCUACUUGUAAACAUUAACCUUAAAUAUCUACCUAAUUAUCUCACUAAUUUAAUCACUGCAUAUCUCAAACUUGUUUGUUAAAUAUUUAAUUCUGCAAAUUGUUUUUGAUACAGAGGUGUGGGGAGCUUUCUGUGAAUGUAAGUUACUCUGCAAAACUCUUUGCAAGAUCAUUGUUAUGUUCGCACUUCAUUGAACAAACCCUGCUGUCAACAAGACUUUUAAUGGAAAUCACAAGAAACUAUGCCCUGAGGCUAAGAGAUAUCGUGCCCUAUUAUUUUAAAAUCUAAUGAACACAUUGUGCAGAAUGUAGACGGGGGUAAAUUUCUUCCUGCGUAUCUUCAGGUUUGAUUCCAUGGGAGUCUAGAGUGGAAAGUUCUGGGUUUCCUUGUUUUUUAGGUUGCAGUGCAGCUGUACAGUUGUUUCUUACCUAUUCACCUUUUUACUACUUGGGGGACUCAGCAAAAUGCUGUCCUUGAUCUUCAGCCCUUUUUAUCAAGUCAGUACCUCGUGCUAAAAGUAAUCUAAAAGGUGUUUAGAUGCUGCAGUUACAAUGCCACUCAAAGUGGCUCUAAUUAUUCCUGAGAGGAAAGUUUUGAAUUGGGAGUGUUUGUUGAGAAGAUGAAAGCUCCAUGUUUGUUCCUUCCUCCCCGAUGGGAAGUGGGCUGUGCUCACACUGCCUCCUGCAAGCACACACGAGGCCCAGCUGAGCACUGCAAGGAGGGCCUUGGGGGUGCCUCCAGCUGCUGGGGCUGGGAGAAGAAACAGCCAGACUGUGGGUGCUGAGGAAAAUCCCAGAUGGAGUGGACAGCUAACCCAGGACAAGCUCUGGAGGCACCUGAAUCCUCUGUUCCGUGAGAAGGUAGGGGCUCUCAGCUGUGCAGUGCCUCCUCUCCCUCUAUCACUCCCCAGGGGCUUCAGCCAGCCCUACAUUUCAGGCUGUACCCACAUGGCAGUUCUGCAAUGCUAUUUUCUUCAUUUUUGUUAUAUAAGUCUCCUUAAUUGAGGAAGGUGAAAGAUUGGGACUAACAUUGUGUUUCUGCGCUGUAGUUCUCACCAUCAGAUGAAGGUGCAAAGCUGUACUAAAUCCAGAUGAUGGCUCACAGCAGACCUCUGACAGGACCCAUGUGAUUAGUUAGAUGUCCAUAUAAAUACCUAUUUGCACUAUAUUACUACCUUAUCAUAUAUUAUUUGGAAUUUCAUCCUGAUUGUCUGUAUUUAUUACAUACAAUUAAUAAAUUUAUUUAUUACAUACAAUUCAUAUAUUUAUUAUACACAAUUCAUACAUUUGUUACACACAAUUCAUUUAUUACAUCCGCAAUUCAUACUGUUUAGUUCAAUAAGAAACAAAUUUCUGUGAAUUUGGCUGAAUAAAGCUGUGUUUGUUCUUGUUAGUUAUCCAAAGUCUCGUUCUUUCUAUGCAUUAUCUCAAUUUCUGGGCAUUUUUCCCCUUCAUUUACUCCAAAAAUUACUUCAAUACUAAUGAAAACUGAACGACAGCCAAGACAGGGUGAACUUUUGGACAAUUUAUGCAAACAUGACAGAUGAGAAUAGAUUUACUAUAAACAUGCCAGGCACAAAAGACUUGACUGCUUUUUAAAUACAGUGAUACUGGAAGAGAUUUAUGGAUAUUUUCAACUGUUCAUUAAAGAGAAAGAUAUUUUGAAACUAUAGGCACUAUCCUUUUAUCCAUUUUUGCCUUCCAGGCUGAGUUGCAAACCUUUGAUGUUUUCUUCACCAAAAAAUAAAAGUAGUUAUGAAUUUAUUUCUC